CCUAUGUCGUUAGUCUUCACUUUUGCUGUUUUUCCAGAGCUUAAAAGAUAUAUGCACAUGUAGCUCGGUUCUGUUCCUGAGUAACCCAAAUAUCGUAGAAUGUGUUUACACUACGGGAACUGAGAUAGCGAACAGGGCUAAAGUAAAUUGUAUCCAGAACAAUUGGGCAGUAAACGUUCAGGUGGAUGAUGAUCAAUGAUCAAACAUAUCAGAGAGUACAAAAGGGAUUAGGUACCAGGCCAUUUCUACUGCUCAGCGAGAAGAAAUUUUUUGCCCUUCACCAGGUUACUUAGAACCAAAAUGGUUUCUGGAAUUGAAGGGGUUUUCUUCUCA